AUUAUGUGUGACAUGCCCGUUUGGGUUAUUACUCUGAUGCAUGUUUAUUUAUUAAUUAAUUGCUUUUGGGUAACGGGGUGUUACAAUUGG
rfam:Medicago truncatula strain A17 unplaced genomic scaffold scaffold0203, whole genome shotgun sequence.